UACGGGGGGGGGCGAGCGUUGUUCGGAAUCACUGGGCGUAAAGGGCGCGUAGGCGGCCCGCACAAGUCUGCGGUGAAAACCUCCGGCUUAACCGGGGGCCGGCCGUGGAAACUGCAGAGCUUGAGUGCCGGAGAGGGUGGCGGAAUUCCCCCAAGUAGAGGUGAAAUUCGUAGAUAUGGGGGAGGAACACCGGUGGCGAAGGCGGCCACCUGGACGGUAACUGACGCUGAGACGCGAAAGCGUGGGGAGCAAACAGG
rnacentral:rRNA from 1 species